GAUGAAAGAACGCAGCGAAAUGCGAUAAGUAGUGUGAAUUGCAGAAUUCAGUGAAUCAUCGAAUCUUUGAACGCACAUUGCGCCCUUUGGUAUUCCUUAGGGCAUGCCUGUUCGAGCGUCAUUUAAACCUUCAAGCUAAGCUUGGUGUUGGGUGACUGUCCGCUUCACGGCGGACUCGCCUCAAAAUUAUUGGCGGCCGGUACAUUGGCUUCGAGCGCAGCAGAAACACGAACUCGGGCCCGUCGUAUUGGCUCCCAGAAGCUAUCUUCACAAUUUUGACCUCGGAUCAGGUAGGGAUACCCGCUGAACUUAAGCAUAUCAAUAAGCGGAGGA
rnacentral:misc_RNA from 1 species